rnacentral:tRNA from 1 species
GGUUCCUUGACCGAGUGGUUAGGUGCCGGUCUGCAAAACCGUUUACUCCGGUUCGAAUCCGGAAGGAACCU